UCGGGAAUUUUGGGCAAUGGGCGAAAGCCUGACCCAGCAACGCCGCGUGAAGGAUGAAGUAUUUCGGUAUGUAAACUUCGAAAGAAUAGGAAGAAUAAAUGACGGUACUAUUUAUAAGGUCCGGCUAACUACGUGCCAGCAGCCGCGGUAAUACGUAGGGACCAAGCGUUGUUCGGAUUUACUGGGCGUAAAGGGCGCGUAGGCGGCAAUUCAAGUCAUCUGUGAAAUCUCCGGGCUUAACUCGGAACGGUCAGAUGAUACUGCUUUGCUAGAGUGCAGAAGGGGCAAUCGGAAUUCUUGGUGUAGCGGUGAAAUGCGUAGAUAUCAAGAGGAACACCUGAGGUGAAGACGGGUUGCUGGGCUGGACACUGACGCUGAGGCGCGAAAGCCAGGGGAGCAAACGGGAUUAGAUACCCGCGUAGUCCCUGAGCGGGCUGGCAAGGCGCAU
rnacentral:rRNA from 1 species